rnacentral:rRNA from 1 species
GGACGAACGCUGGCGGCGUGCUUACCACAUGCAAGUCGAACGAUGAAGCCCAGCUUGCUGGGUGGAUUAGUGGCGAACGGGUGAGUAACACGUGAGCAACGUGCCCGAAACUCUGGAAUAACUACCGGAAACGGUGGCUAAUACUGGAUAUGUGCCAGGGAGGCAUCUCCUCUGGUUGGAAAGAUUUUUCGGUUUCGGAUCGGCUCACGGCCUAUCAGCUUGUUGGUGGGGUAAUGGCCUACCAAGGCGACGACGGGUAGCCGGCCUGAGAGGGUGACCGGCCACACUGGGACUGAGACACGGCCCAGACUCCUACGGGAGGCAGCAGUGGGGAAUAUUGCACAAUGGGCGCAAGCCUGAUGCAGCAACGCCGCGUGAGGGAUGACGGCCUUCGGGUUGUAAACCUCUUUUAGUAGGGAAGAAGCGCAAGUGACGGUACCUGCAGAAAAAGCACCGGCUAACUACGUG